rnacentral:rRNA from 1 species
CUCAGGGAGGUAGUGACAAGAAAUAACAACACUGGAAAUUUUAUUUCUAGUGAUUGGAAUGAUGGGAAUUUAAACCCCUUUCAGAGUAACAAUUGGAGGGCAAGUCUGGUGCCAGCAGCCGCGGUAAUUCCAGCUCCGAUAGCGUAUAUUAAAGUUGUUGCAGUUAAAAAGCUCGUAGUUGGAUGUCUGCUGGAAGCAAUCAGUCCGCCCUAUUUGUAGGGUGUGCACUUGAUGAAUUCUGGCAUUUUUGUCCCAAUGAUGUAACGGGGCGGUGGUAUUCGGUGAAAGCCGAGUAUCCUGUUUUCCGAUUAUUGGGAUACUGUUACUUUGAGAAAAUUAGAGUGUUUGAAGCAGGCUAAUUGCCUUGAAUACUGCAGCAUGGAAUAACAAUAUAGGAUUUCGGUUCUAUUUUGUUGGUUUCUAGGACUGAAAUAAUGAUUAAUAGGGACAGUUGGGGGCAUUCGUAUUUAACUGUCAGAGGUGAAAUUCUUAGAUUUGUUAAAGACGAACUACUGCGAAAGCAUUUGCCAAAGAUGUUUUCAUUAAUCAAGAACGAAAGUUAGGGGCUCGAAGACGAUCAGAUACCGUCGUAGUCUUAACCAUAAACUAUGCCGACUAGAGAUAGGAAAAUGUCAUUUUGCUGACUU